UACGAAGGGGGCUAGCGUUGCUCGGAAUUACUGGGCGUAAAGCGCACGUAGGCGGCUUUCUAAGUCGGGGGUGAAAUCCUGGAGCUCAACUCCAGAACUGCCUUCGAUACUGGAGAGCUUGAGUCCGGGAGAGGUGAGUGGAACUGCGAGUGUAGAGGUGAAAUUCGUAGAUAUUCGCAAGAACACCAGUGGCGAAAGGCGGCUCACUGGCCCGAUACUGACGCUGAGGCACGAAAGCGUGGGGAAGCAAACAGGG
rnacentral:rRNA from 1 species